GACGAACGCUGGCGGCGCGCCUAACACAUGCAAGUCGAACGGAGCUUAGAGAGCUUGCUUUUUAAGCUUAGUGGCGAACGGGUGAGUAACGCGUGAGUAACCUGCCCUAGAGUGGGGGACAACAGUUGGAAACGACUGCUAAUACCGCAUAAGCCCACGGUACCGCAUGGUACUGAGGGAAAAGGAUUUAUUCGCUUUAGGAUGGACUCGCGUCCAAUUAGCUAGUUGGUGAGGUAACGGCCCACCAAGGCGACGAUUGGUAGCCGGACUGAGAGGUUGAACGGCCACAUUGGGACUGAGACACGGCCCAGACUCCUACGGGAGGCAGCAGUGGGGGAUAUUGCACAAUGGGGGAAACCCUGAUGCAGCGACGCCGCGUGGAGGAAGAAGGUUUUCGGAUUGUAAACUCCUGUCGUUAGGGACGAUAAUGACGGUACCUAACAAGAAAGCACCGGCUAACUACGUGCCAGCAGCCGCGGUAAAACGUAGGGUGCAAGCGUUGUCCGGAAUUACUGGGUGUAAAGGGAGCGCAGGCGGGAAGACAAGUUGGAAGUGAAAACCAUGGGCUCAACCCAUGAAUUGCUUUCAAAACUGUUUUUCUUGAGUAGUGCAGAGGUAGAUGGAAUUCCCGGUGUAGCGGUGGAAUGCGUAGAUAUCGGGAGGAACACCAGUGGCGAAGGCGGUCUACUGGGCACCAACUGACGCUGAGGCUCGAAAGCAUG
rnacentral:rRNA from 1 species